UCUGCUGGAAGAAGGUGAGAUUCAAACCACAGCACAACACCAGGUUGAUGCAAUUUGCCGCUACUGCAGAAGUACCUAAAAACCGAUCAAUUGUAAUGCUCCUAGGAGAAGCGCUUGAAGCUUUCAUUUGAAGUAAGUGUGAGCUUCAGCUUCAGGAUGGUGGGAUCCUGCUCUAUUUUGUAGUCCAAGGCCACUCCGAACAACAAGUCCACAGCACAUCCAUGGAAUCCAAGCAGGAAGGCGAACUCAGGCAGGGCAGCCUUUAGAAGACUCAAGGAUGUAAAGGUCUGAAGCUCCCUGAGGCAGCUGUCUGCCUGUCAGGGAGCUUUCUCGCAGCACUCACCCACCCUUUUAAUUGGUCAGGCAGUGUGAAAUUGCGCUCGGAGGCCGAUUGCGGUUGGCGGUCCGUUCCCUGACACUCCCAGGCCUGCCGAUCGGGCGCACCCACCAAAGCCUGCUGUCUCUCUCUGAAAACCCCUGUCGAGAGGAAAAGGAGAAAAUCACCGUUAGAGACAUUGAAAGGCAAGUGCUCAACCAGUGAACUAAAGACUUAAUAUGCUGGGAAGACCACGUCAUGUCAUCAACAAAGAACUGAAAGGAAUUUGGAAGACAUUGAUCAAAAUCAACACAUCAAAUCCUGUACUCGGGAACUGGUUCUAUUGAAUUGUUUUAUCCGACCCUUAAAAUCCAUGUUUUUGUGUGUCUUAUGUGUCUUGUAUGUGCGUGCCUAGGGUUUUAAGUAGAGUUUAGGCUAUAGAGUGAGAAAUUAGCUGUUCAUAUUUCUUUCUUUUGCCACAUGUUAAAGACAAUUUGUUCAAUAAACAGUUAUUUAUUUAUUAAGUUUA